AUGCGACCUUUGGAAUAUUAAAUACCUAAGUAAAUUCAAGUAGGAUGAUCUCACUGAAGAACUAGCAUUAAAGAAAGCUAUUCGGGAGCAAAAGAUAGCUUUAGAACUUUCUACUGCCAAGAGAGAUAGAGGGACUUAUAUCUUU